rnacentral:rRNA from 1 species
GCCCANCUUAACAAAACAAUUAAAUAACGAAUUGUUCGCCAAAUAACUACGAGCGAAAGCUUAAAAUUUAAAAGACUUGACGGUGCUUCAUAUCAACCUAGAGGAGCCUGUCUAUUAACCGAUAAUCCACGAUUAACCCAACCCCCUUUGGCCUACAGUCUAUAUACCGCCGUCGCCAGCUUACCUUGUNAAAGAAAUAAAGCAAGCUCAAUAACACCACCCUUAGUACGACAGGUCGAGGUGUAACUAAUGAGGGGGACAAGAUGGGCUACAUUUUCUACACUAGAAAAGAACGAACAGACUAUGAAACUAGAAACUGAAGGCGGAUUUAGAAGUAAGUUGAGAAUAGAACACCUAACCGAAAUUAACGCAAUGAAGUGCGC